AUUGAACGCUGGCGGCAGGCCUAACACAUGCAAGUCGAACGGUAGCACAGAGAGCUUGCUCUCGGGUGACGAGUGGCGGACGGGUGAGUAAUGUCUGGGAAACUGCCCGAUGGAGGGGGAUAACUACUGGAAACGGUAGCUAAUACCGCAUAACGUCGCAAGACCAAAGUGGGGGACCUUCGGGCCUCACACCAUCGGAUGUGCCCAGAUGGGAUUAGCUAGUAGGUGGGGUAAUGGCUCACCUAGGCGACGAUCCCUAGCUGGUCUGAGAGGAUGACCAGCCACACUGGAACUGAGACACGGUCCAGACGCCUACGGGAGGCAGCAGUGGGGAAUAUUGCACAAUGGGCGCAAGCCUGAUGCAGCCAUGCCGCGUGUAUGAAGAAGGCCUUCGGGUUGUAAAGUACUUUCAGCGGGGAGGAAGGCGGUGGAGUUAAUAACUUCACCGAUUGACGUAACCCGCAGAAGAAGCACCGGCUAACUCCGUGCCAGCCGCCGCCGUAA
rnacentral:rRNA from 1 species